AGCUCCAGUAGCGUAUAUUAAUGUUGUUGCAGUUAAAAAGCUCGUAGUUGGAUUUCUAGCAGACAUGCGUGGUCCGGACCACUUUGUGGAGCUGAGUAUCGCUGUGUGUCUGUUAUCUUACUAGUUUCAGAUCCUCUGGGUCUUGACUGGUUCUUUUACUUUGAAAAAAUUAGAGUGUUUAAAGCAGGCUUGCGCAAUGAAUACAUUAGCAUGGAAUAAUAACAUAAGACUUUGGUUUUAUUUUGUUGGUUCAUAGCACUAGAGUAAUGAUUGAUAGGGAUAGUUGGGGGUGCUAGUAUUGAGCGGCCAGAGGUGAAAUUCGGGGAUUCGCUCAAGACUAACUUAUGCGAAAGCAUUCACCAAGGAUGUCUUCU
rnacentral:rRNA from 1 species